GCCAUUCUACUUCCCAGCUGGCUGGCUUCAGGACAGGAAUUCUUGGCUCUUUCUGAGAUAUGGUGGAUGAUAGCAGUCCCUUGGGGUAAGUAUAGCUUCGAUUUAUGUCUGUGAUCUUCCAAAGGGUUUGAAGCCCCCAAAUGCUCUAAAACCAGGGCCAGAUAUUUUGAAACAGAAUAAUGAGACAGGGACAAACAAACAGAUCUAUCCCCCGCCUGCACUUCCUCUACAUUGGCUUUAAAUGGGGUGAUGGUGUUUAGAAAAGAGGAGCCACCCAACUAGAAACAGAGUGGUUAUUUUCUUCCCUGCUGUAGGAAAUAAUGGAUCUGCUUUGAAUGCCGUGUGCUGAGGGUGGGUGAUAGCCAAGGAGUUAAACCACUUCCCAAGUUGUUUUUAACUAAACUCUUGCCGCAGGGUUUAGAAAUCUCCCUCUCUAAUUGAUGUCUUUGGUCAGUGGCUGCUUAUAAUCAAGAAGAUUGCACUUAAAAGGUAUAGAGGCUGGUCUUGUUAUUGGCAUUAGAGGAUUUUGCUUUGUAAUUACAAGCCAGGAUCUAGAACCAGUGCACAGGCUGUUGAGUUUCAGAUCUCAUACAGAGAAAAUGGCAGGCAUUUUAGUG
rnacentral:lncRNA from 1 species